rnacentral:rRNA from 1 species
AUUGAACGCUGGCGGCAUGCUUUACACAUGCAAGUCGAACGGGGUUGGGAGCUUGCUUCCAAUCUAGUGGCGAACGGGUGAGUAAUACAUCGGAACGUACCGUGUAGUGGGGGAUAACGUAGCGAAAGUUACGCUAAUACCGCAUACGAUCCACGGAUGAAAGCAGGGGACCUUCGGGCCUUGUGCUAUACGAGCGGCCGAUGUCUGAUUAGCUAGUUGGUGAGGUAAAGGCUCACCAAGGCGACGAUCAGUAGCGGGUCUGAGAGGAUGAUCCGCCACACUGGGACUGAGACACGGCCCAGACUCCUACGGGAGGCAGCAGUGGGGAAUUUUGGACAAUGGGCGCAAGCCUGAUCCAGCCAUGCCGCGUGUCUGAAGAAGGCCUCGGUUGUAAGGAC